GGAUGUGCAGGGUGGGUCGGAGCUGAGGUGGGCAGACACAGAACCCCCGCAGAGGCCAGGGGAGGGGGAAUCCCUGUCCUUAUCCAAUUCCCCAGGGGCUCCGUAAUGAGCCUCGCAAUGCCAUUCCAUUUUCAACUCUACAAGGCUCCUGGCACUCUCAGCGGUAGGUCUGAGAGAAUUAGCUGCCUGAAUGCCUAAUGACAGACAAGGGUAGCAGAGAGAGGGAGGGAGAGAGAGAGAGUAAAUAGGUGGGGGGGGGAUGGGGAAGUCACAGUGUCUUCUCUCUCUUUGGAAUCUUUGGGACCGUAUUGCAGAUUUCCAAGUUCAGGGUCCCCUGGGGCCACAGCCACACCUCCCUGCUCCAUCACUUCCUGGCUGGGGAACCCGUUUUCCCAAGCAGGCUUUUGCAAUGCCCUCUCCUCAAGCUGAGUGCUCAUGCCCGCCAUGCCCAGGUGCCCUUAUUGGCUGUGAUCCACUCCAGGCUGACACAGCCACCUUCUCCAAGGACCCGGUCACUCUAUGGACAACAGGUAUUCUCUGAGGCCGAUCAGAGUGAAGUCCAGAGUGGUACGUUUCUUCCUUGCCUCCUCCACUUGUGAAACUAUGAAAUUAUUCACUGAGCAGAUCAAUUAUUCAGAUUAUUCACAUGGAGUCUAAAUUAGACUGUAUCGCCUCUGGCGAGGCUUUGAAGUCCUGCCUUACCUGACUCCCCGACCCCCGCCAACUUUCCACCCGACUCCAGCCACUUGCUUUCAUGCCAGGCCCCUUCUCCCCGUCGCACGCUCCCCUCACUGUGACCUGCUGCCUCCAAGCUUGAGCCCCGUCUGAUUCCCCUGUCUGAAGCCCAGCCUUCUCUCUUCAUCCUAAUCCAACUUGCCCUUCAAGAUCUCACUUUUGAACUUGGGCUUCACCCUGAGCGUCCCUGGGCUUCUGCAGCAGUCGGAAGUAUUUUAGAAUUAGAAGCACACAAUUUUGCUUUUAAUUGCACUCCGUUUGCAGACGCUGCCUUCCCACAGAGUUGUUAAGCAACACAAGGGCAGGACACUGUUGGACUCCUGGGGUCCUCUCACAUACCAGCUCGGCGCGCACCAUGAAGACGCCGUGGAAUCCGUGCAGCCUGGCUCCCGCCUGCUUUCCCGCUCUUCCUCUUUCCCUUCAUCCCAGCUUCCUCCAGCCUCUCCGCCCUCAAUCACUCUCCCUCCCGUCCCAGGCAUUAGACAAGCCAAGGUGGAGAUCAGACUUGGGAUUUUAGAGAUCAGGCUGGCUGCAGGCAGUUCUCCAGAAGGGAUUAUGGUGAAUUUGGGCCAACUCAGAGGAGACCAUUGCAGCAAACCAGGUGAGAGGUAGCAGGUACUGGCCUGAGGAGCCGUGACAGAGAUGGAGAGAAGUGAGUGGAUUCAAGACACCAUAGGAAGGAAGAUGCUGAUCCAUUUGUCUAGCGCUAUAUAGUUUCCAUAGCACGUUCCCAUCUACGACCUCCACUGACCCUCAACCACCCAUGAGACAGACUAAGUAGCAUAAUUAGGAGAUGAAACAGGCCAGGGGAGGGGGGCUGGUUGCCCAAAUCCACACAGCUGGUUAGCACAGGGUUGGGUUUCACAUCCGGGGUCUUGGACUCCACGGUCAGGGCUCUCUCUCCAAGUUUCCUGUCCCUGGGACUCAGUGCAGCUGAAGAACCCCGACUCCGACUACCUGCCUCUGGCUAUUUACACAGUUCCAAUUGAUUUGUUGUAACCUGUAAUUAUUUUGCUGAAUUUUUUUUUUCACGCUUCAUUUGUGUUCUCCUCUCUGGCAGACAGGCUCCAGGAAAAAGUAGCUUGGGAGAUAAGUUGGAAGCCAGAGAAGCUGUAUGUGAUUCUGGGACAGAAGCUGGGGGACCCCUGGUAUGUUUCCCCACCCCUUGUCUAUCUCCAUUGGCUCUUCCUUGGUCUCUUCCUCCCCAGGGUGGGAGGUGAGAGCUUGGGGGCCAGGUGGGACAGAGUCUGUCUCUGGCCUGAAACCUCCCAGUAGGGGGCAGAACUUCCAGCAUCCUGAUUCUGUCUUUCCACCAUGUGACUAUUUCCUAUUGACACAUCUGUCAAGCCACUGACAUUUUGGAAGAAAAAUAGAGAUGUGCAUAUUUUAAGGAGACUCUGAAUUUUGUAAAUGAGGUAUGCCUCUGAGACCCGCCCUCCUAGCUGAGGAGACACGUUCCUCAAGGUGGUUUGAACGUUCAGAACAACAGACUGUCUUCUGUGACCAAAAUUGUGGCCAGAGUCCUCUGAGUCCUUUGCUUGACGAGGCCUGAACUUGGAUUUCCCUCUCUGGCCCUGGAGAAUCCAGUCUGAGCAAGAAUCCUGCUUGCUCACUUUAUGGAAAACCCCUUACUCUUGGUAUCUUACCACGCUGAAGAGCUCAUCGCCCUGGCCUACCUUCAGCAAUGACCAAGUCAGCUUAGCUAGAAAAUCUUUAUCCUCUUUUUUUUUUUCUUGUGAUAUUGGGGAUAGAACUCAUGACCUUGUGCAUGCUAGGCAAGCGCUCUACCACUGAGCUAUAUUCCUAGCUGCAUUGAUUUUUUUUUUUUAAUUUUAUUGUGAGAUGAGGUCUCACUAAGUUGUUGAGGCUGGCCUUGAACUUGUGAUCCUCCUGCCUCAGCCUCCCAAGUAGCUAGGAUUAGAGGUGUGCACCAUCAUACCCAGCUAAAACCUUUGCCCUUGAUGUUUCUUUUUCAAUAAUUUUCCACCCACUAACCCCCUGUCCUGCUCCUUAGUUAUAAAUUCCCACUUCUUGUUGGAGUCAGAGCGGAACCUAAUCUCUCUCUCCCACUGCAAGACCCCAUUAAGUGAAGUCUGCCUUUCCAUCUUUAACAAGUGUUUUCUUCUUCUUUCUUUUUCUUUAACAGGGAUGGCCACCAGAUUGAGAAAGCUUGGGGAAAGGCCUCUGCCUAUUUCCUGAACUGAUGGGGUCGCUGUGGGAGGUCAGGGCUGCUCACAGCCUAAAUCUUCCAUGCCAACUUAACUGUGGCAACCCAGACCCUGGAAGAGGGUUUGCUGCAUCCCGUAUUUAGAGGUUAAGUGUUCUGAUAUCUGCAACUUACUCUGAAAUGUGUCAAAAACAGAAGAAAAGACUGGUGGAGGGUAGAUGGACAGAUUCGUGGUAAGACAGAUAGAGCAAAAUGGGAGUUCUAGAAUCUGGGUUGUGGGCAUAUGGGUGUUUGCUGUGUUAUUUUUUAAGCUCUUCUGAAUGUUUCCAUUUUUCAUAAUAACAUAUUGAGGGAAAUAAAUCACCUAGGGAGUCACACCCACCUCAUGUUGCACGUCACCCUGGCUCGAGGGAGUUUCAUCAUUCGUCAUUGGGUUCUUUCUCAAGCCCCCUUCGGGAGAGUUCUCGACCAGACACUUGAAGACACAGAAUAACAAGCAGAUAGGCAGUCCCCGCUUUGGGGAAAUUUAGGAUAUUGGGAGAAAAUAGGACGGAAUCAUCAAAUUAACGUCAGUAAAGACAGCUCUUUAUUUUCUGGUCUAAUGGAUGAGAAAUAGGGGUGUGAUUUCCUGUAACUAUAUAUUGUCCCCAAACCUCUUCUGCUUGACUUUGAUGAGGUAGAAAGGCCCAUUACAGGAAAGAGACAGAAGUGGGGAGUAGGGGAGGCUGCACCUGGCAGGUGACUGGAGAUCCGGUAGUGGACAGUCACCUGCAGGUCCCUGAAGGUGGGUUGAAGAACAGAUCUGACUCCUUCGGGGAGGGUUGGGAUCAGCGUACUAGGAACCAGGUCAGUCUCAACUCUGCCAGUCUACGUCAGCUUGAACAAGUCACUGUUUUCUUGGAAACUCAACCUCCUCUUUGUUAAGAUUGCUGAACUAUCACCUGCAAGCUGAAUU
rnacentral:lncRNA from 1 species